UACAGGGGGUGCAAACGUUGCUCGGAAUUAUUGGGCGUAAAGCGCGCGUAGGCGGCUAUCUAAGUCGGAUGUGAAAGCCCCUGGCUUAACUGGGGAAGUGCACCCGAAACUGGGUAGCUAGAGUGCAAAAGAGGGUCGCGGAAUUCCCGGUGUAGAAGUGAAAUUCGUAGAUAUCGGGAGGAACACCGGUGGCGAAGGCGGCGACCUGGGUUGACACUGACGCUGAGGCGCGAAAGCGUGGGGAGCAAACAGG
rnacentral:rRNA from 1 species